UACGAAGGGGGCUAGCGUUGCUCGGAAUCACUGGGCGUAAAGCGCACGUAGGCGGAUUGUUAAGUCAGGGGUGAAAUCCCGGAGCUCAACUCCGGAACUGCCUUUGAUACUGGCGAUCUUGAGUCCGGGAGAGGUGAGUGGAACUGCGAGUGUAGAGGUGAAAUUCGUAGAUAUUCGCAAGAACACCAGUGGCGAAGGCGGCUCACUGGCCCGGUACUGACGCUGAGGUGCGAAAGCGUGGGGAGCAACAGG
rnacentral:rRNA from 1 species